rnacentral:lncRNA from 1 species
AUUACAAAAUCCACUUUGUGGUUUAACAUUUUAUUGGAAAAAGCCUUACAAUACAAAUUCGAGCAAAAAAUCCUAAUUGAACUUCUCCAAGUUUCAUAUGUCUUUCUCUAAAUUCUUUAAUAACUAUUUUCCUCUCCUCAUCCUUAGCCACAAAGGCGUUUGAUAAGCUUAUCUAUAGAAUUAUCCUGAUCUGGCUCAAUCUUUCACCAUGG